CUUCAAUUUAACAGAUACGUUCCAACCAAGUUCAAAUCAUGAAUAGCGCGCUAAAUAAACUAAGAGGACAGAACGAAGCUUUGAAAUCGAAACUCGUCAUAGCUGAGCAACAAAAUGCGGAAACCUUCGUUGCUUAUCACCAGCAUACAGGAGAAUAUCACAUCAAUCAAUACAAACUUAGGGAGUACAGUGACAAUGCACAAAUGCAUAUAAAUGAAAUCAAUGCGUUACAUCAGAAAAAUUGUAAACUUGAGCUGGAAUUACUCAAACUGGAAGCCCUCCUGCAGGUUAAAGAUGAAGAUGCUCAGCAUGAAUCACUCCCUGAAAUAAGAAACAAAAUAAAUGCUGUGAUUUUGGAACAAUCAUGUAUUAAAGCCUAUGUUGAAGAUGUAAAUAGGCAAAUUAGCAUUGCCAGCCAGAAAAUAGAAGAAUUGCAGCAACAAAAUGAAGAAUGGAUGAUGAAAUGCAGAAAAGAACAAGAAGCUAGAGAUGAAUAUUUGGCGUUUAUCAACAGUAACUUACUACAAUCAUAAUUGUUUACAAUUGCAUUAAAUUUGUGUGGACGUUG